GAUGAACGCUAGCGGGAUGCCUUACAAAUGCAAGUCGAAAGGAGUGGCGAACGGGUGAGUAAUGUAUCGGAACGUGCCCAGUAGCGGGGGAUAACUACGCGAAAGCGUAGCUAAUACCGCAUACUAUUGGAGCGGCCGUUAGCGGAUUAGGUAGUUUGGGGGGUAACGGCUCACCACGGCGACGAUCCGUAGCGGGUUUGAGAGGACGACCAGCCACACUGGGACUGAGACACGGCCCAGACUCCUACGGGAGGCAGCAGUGGGGAAUUUUGGACAAUGGGGGAACCCCUGAUCCAGCCAUCCCGCGUGUGCGAUGAAGGCCUUCGGGUUGUAAAGCACUUUUGGCAGGCAAGCGGUACCUGCAGAAUAAGCACCGGCUAACUACGUGCCAGCAGCCGCGGUAAUUC
rnacentral:rRNA from 1 species